GAGGCGGGACCACACAGACAGCCUGGGCCCCGUCUGCCUGCCCCGCUAAGUUCUGGCUGAGCAAGCUCUCCUGGCCUCUCCCCUUUCCCUCAGCAGCAACCCCCGACUUUCCUCUAGAGCCGGGUGCCCCCCCAGAAUCGUGCACCUGCGUUUCCCCUGCCGAUCGGAUGCCCGGGGAGCCACCCAGCGGCUUCCCUCCAGCACCAAGGCCACAAGGAGCCCUCCUGGUUUCCUGCUCCCUGUCACAGCGUCGGCUGAAGCAGGGUGACCGUCCCCCCAAAGGAACCCCGUCCCCCACGCAGUGCCCUCUGUCUGGGACUGGGGAGGGCUGGUUUCCACCUACACAUUCCUGAGCACAGCUCUGCAGAGGGGUCUCUCCCCAGACCGCUGGAGGCUGGGGAGGGGAGCACCCCCAGUCCCCCCGCCGCCACCCAUGGUGGGAGUGAGGGAGGGGGUGACACUUUGCCUUCCCUGAGCCCCACCCAUUGGGUUCACACCCCACCUGUCCCUGGGAGGGGGCUGGGCCGGUUAAUUCUCGCUCCCAUUUCACAGAUGGGACAACGGGCUCAGAAAGCAGCAGGGUCUGGCCCAGGGUCUCUGGGGUGCGAACCGUGCUCAGACCCAAGCCCUAAUCUCCCCAUCCAGAAGGGGCCCCCCCAACCCGGGCUUCCCGACACCACCGCUGUCCGCAGAGCUGGUGGCCCUGUGGGCAGCUUGGGGCUGGGGGGCCCCCGCAUGCCUGGUGCCCUGACGCAGGCUGGGGGCUGGUGAGAGGUAGCACACCCCUGCUGGCGCCUCAAAUGGGAAGUGUCCUGGGGCGUCUCCCCCGGAGCCCCAUGGCUCCCACGUCACAUUUCAGCCCCGGGGCUCGUGUGAUGGGCAUGGCAGCCUCUGACUUCCCUCCCAGCAGACCCAUCCCGACCCUGAUGUGCGAGUCCAGCUCCAAGGGCCCCGGGCACGUUCCCGUCAGACCCCGAGGUCCAGCCCUCACCAGACCCAGGAACCACCCCCUCCAGAACACAAGAGGACGGCUGCCCUCUGCCUUUCUCAUUUCCACAUGGUCGCUGGAUGUCAUUUGACAAAUCAUUGAACAGAUGAAGUCCAACGUGGGGACCCUGGACAGGAGAUCCUGGGCACCGGGGGAAGCGACAGGGCAGGAGUACCUGAUUCAUCAUUGAGGAGGUGAGACAGAAGGAGGAGGCUGGUGACAGGGCCCUCCACCCCCACCAGGUGUCCCCCUUGCUGGCCGUCACCUGCUGGGUGUGGCCCUCCCCUUUCUCAGUGCUGGGCCCCCGGAAAUCAGCACGUCUGAGGCUCCCUGUGGUCCUGCACCCCAUCUUCCCUGCUGGGUGAAGUGAGCCCAUACCCUGGGGCUUCUCCUCCCACAGCCCCAUGUGACCUGGGCCCUGGGACGCCCCCAACUCUCCUGACUCAGCCCGAGUUGUACCCAGAGACCCACAGGGCUCAAGCUGGGUGCCUUACCCUGAGGUAUCCCACUGCCUCCCUGUGACUUCCCGGUCAAGACAGUGCACAGGGACUCUGGGAAUCCCCCGGUCACAUUUCCCCUUUCUUCUUGAGACAGAUUUCCAGUGUCUUGAGGGGUAGGAGAGAGAUGGUGAUGGCUUGAGCCAGACCUCGGAGAGCGGGAGCGGGGGUGUCCUGAGACCCCGCUGCAGGAGCGUGCCCUCCUCUCCUCUGCAUUCGGGCUAGCCUCAGCUCCCCCUGCUCUGUGUGAGCUCCAGGCUGGACAGUGGGUUCAGAGGCAAAGCGACCUGGUCCUCGCCCUCCUGGGGCUCCAGGUCUAAGGAGGGAGCCACAUCUAAAAGCCAGAGAUAAGUCAUGUGGUGGGCACCUGCUUAGUGAGGGAGGCAGGUGCCAGGUGGGACGAAGGAUGCAGAGGAGUCCUGGGGGGGGACCAGGUGGGAAAGGGUAUCUCUGAGAAAGAACGUAGGUUGAGCGAUGCAGACGGGCAGUGCCUGGCGUCCAUUCUUGGUGAGGCGGGGGGCUGGCACAGUGGCCGAGGCCCGCUCCUGCAGGGCGACCGUGCAAGCUUCAGGCUGGUGUGGAGGGUGGACUGGGCGGACAGGAGGCUGAUGAGCGGCUCCAGGGGUGGGCCAGGUGGGAGGCGUGAGAGGCAGGGGCCAGGCUGCAGAGGGGGAGGGUGGGGCUCUAGAGGGGACACGGGCGAUGCCUGGAGGUGGGAAGCCUGCAGGAGGCAGCCCCUACUGUCACCGUGGAGGGGAGGGUGGGCGGAGCGGACCCCACUGCAUGGCCUCAUGCCCGUGGCAGAGGGGAAGGAUGCAGGGCUGAGGGUCAGAGGAGGGCCAGAGGGUGUGCGGGGAGCCUGGGGGCUUCCCAGAGGUUGAGGGGCCGGCUCCUGGGAGCAGAACUGGGGGAUGGUCUCCCCCAGGCUCCAGACCAGGGCAUCAGUCGCUGACCCCCCUUUCCCAGGCGUCCCAAGCCUGGUGUGUGCCAGCCCCUCACCAGCUCCUCCCCAGCAAUGGGAAGAGUCUGCUCCUCCCACCCAGAACCAGGAGCCUGGAGGCCAGAGUGCUCCCCGGCCCCCCCGCCGCUCCCCCCUGUGCUGUUCCCGCCCUGUGCUACUCCCCCCCGUGCUGUUCCCCUCUCCAUGCUGCUCCCCCCUUGUGCUGUUCCCCACCCCACCCCCCCCGUGCUGCUCCCCCCCCCCGCCACGUGCUGCACCCCCCACGGGCUGGCCCCUUCUGGGCUUGGGAAGCAGGCUCAGGAACAUUCCACACCACCCUCAGCCCUCUCUCCACAGCCAGGCAGCAGCUGGGGCACAUUUCCAGCUACAAAUCAAGCCACGUCUGCCCCUCCCCACACUCUCUGGGGCCUGGUGCCUCCGGCUGGGGGUGGAGAUGCUUACACAACACACAUCUGUUUCUCUGGGUUCUGGAACUGGAAGUCCGAGAUCACGGGGCCUCUCUCCUUGGAUCACAGACGCUGCCACUGUGCCGUGUCCCCCACAGCCUUCCUCUGUGCACACAUGGGGAGAGAGGUCUCAGGUGUCUCCUCCUCUGGUUUGUUUUUGAGCUGGCCCCACGCCCAGCCUGUAGCCCAGGGCAGGUCUUGAACCCGAGACCCGAGAUCAAGACCUGAGCUGAGAUCAAGAGUUGGACACUUAGCUGACUGAGCCGCCCAGGCCACCCUCCUCCUCUUCGGGGCAGGGAUCUUGUGGGAUCAGGCCCCCCCGUAUGAUGUCAUGUAGCCCUAUUUACCUCCUAGAAGCCCUGUCUCCGGGUGCAGCCACGUCAGGAGUCAGAACUUGCACGCGUGAAUCUGGGGGCACACGGUCCAGGGCGACCUCCCACCAGAAGGUGGGCUCCUGAGGACCAGGAGCUCCGUCCCCGGUCACUGCUGUGUCCCCAGCAGCAGGCACACAGCGCAGGCCCCCUGGGACACAUGAGGUGGGAGAAGCCUCGCAUCCGUGGAAAGCUGGGGCUUGGGGUUCUCUGGGUGAAUCCAGUGAUGUCACAGCGUGUCAGCUUCAACAAGGACGCGGACCAGGUGCGCUCAGACAAAACGGAACCACGUCAGGCCCCCGAGCCACCAGCUCACCCUGCGGCUUCUCGCACGCACGGCCUCCGCCUUGCUCCGUUCCGCUUAUGACGCAGGCCAGGAGUGUUAGUAUCAGUUCAUUGGACACGUAGGUCGUCGGGGCCGGGGUCCCCAGCAAGAAAACAGGGCGCCAGGACAGCUGAGACAAAACCGUACGAGCAUCCGUUUACAGCUUAGACAAGACCACGACAGCUUCCUGUCCAGCAGCCUCUGCAGGAGCAACAUUCACAACACAUCCCGAAACAAAACUACUAACCAUGAAACCUCGGUCACUGUCACAGGUUGGGGCAGGUAGUCUCCCAGAGGUCAGCCCACAGGACCAGCAACACGUGAACGAUAACCUCAUAGGUGGAGGGCAUGAUCCAACCCUGAUUGGCACACCUUAGCGGCCAAUCCUCAGGGGGCCCACUCUCGGGAUGCUCAGGAUAGUUCCUCGGAAGAGCUUCUAAAAACCCCUAGGGGCGCCUGGGGGGCUCAGUCGGUGAAGCGUCUGCCGUCUGCCUUCAGCUCAGGUUGUGAUCCCAGGGUCUCCGGCGGUCCUGGGAUGGGGUUGGGCUCCUCAGGGAAGUCUGCUUCUCCCUCUCCCCGUCUCUCUGCUUGUGCUCUCUCUCGCUUUCGCUCAAAUAGAUGAAUGGGAUCUUUAAAAAAUUAAAUAAAUGAAAAAUACAACCCCUAAAUUUGAAAGCCAAAAUGGCAACCUUCUCGGGUCCCCUUCCUUUCCGGGAGCUUUGCACUAUGUCAAUAAACUUUGCUUUGCCACUCUUCGUCUGGUCCACCUCUUCAUUCUUCGAAGCAGCGUGACCACGAGCUGCGGGCACUAAGGGGACAAAAGUCCUAUAACAUUAAGACGCCCGGUCACAGAUUUCCCAGCUCCUAGCCGCACUCAAGGCACACACACAGCCCCAAUCCCCCGACACACCCCAAAACCCAUGCAAGCUGCCACCUACCGGCCCACGGUGCCCCCGGGAGCAUUCCCGCACCGUCACGGGCAAUCCCCCACCCUCACGGCGUGGGCACACGCCCAGGUGCCCGGCUGCAGGGAGUGGGCAAUGUUUGCGUUCUUCAGCUAGGGUCACCGCACGGGGAACAAAGCGCUCUUUCUCAGGCAAAUGCUGAUCACCUGGAGGUAACUCUGGGAGGCCGAUGUGCCAAAGGAUCCCGACACCCACACACACAGGCCUCCACACGGUGCACACGCACACAGCCCAGCCAGGAGGACCUAUGAUGUGCCUUGAAUAAAUCCUGCCCGCGUGCCCUGUUUCCCUGCCUCCUGAAAAAAGUCAGGCAUCCUUCCGCUGGGGGCGUGGGGAAGGCUCUGACCAAGGACUAACUUCCCCUUUCUGCUUUAUUCUCCUCUACCUUGUAUGGGUUUUUUCACAACAGUGUUUCACUUUUACAAGAAAAAGUCUGAUGGAGAGAUGUAUUGACAUUCAUUGCUGGUGAGGGCUGGGCCGCCGGGCCAGCCCCAGGGGAACCCACGGGUUCCCCAGAAGGCAGCUCUGCCGGGCAGUCAGGACAGUUCCUGUCCGCUGCACACCCAACUCCCCACCCCACUGGCCCGUCCCCCCACCCCCCGCGCUCCAGCCCUCAGCCCUGGACUAGGGGUUCGGAAGUGAGGGAUGGCCUCUGGGGCCUGCACACCUGUGUUCAUGACGGCCGGAGGGAGGAAGCAGUGUCCCUCACAGACGAACGGACCAGCGCAUGCGUUACCUGCACCGUGGAUGGUCACCGAAGCUCUGACGCGCAUUUUGUGGAGCAUGGUUGACCCUGAGGAUGCGGAGCUCCAGGAACUAAGCCAGUCCCAAGAGGACAAACUCCCUCUGAACCCACUUGCACGAGGGACCUAGAGUCAUCAAGUUCCUGGAGAGAGCAGGCGCCAGGGACCAGGGAGGGCGGGGAGCCAGGGUUUCACGGGGGCAGAGCGUCAGUCUGGGAAGAUGGAAUGUUCCAGAGACAGAUGGCGGGGACGGGCGCACCGCGGUGAAUGUGCUUCAUGCCACUGAGUUGUGCACCCGCAGAUGGCUAGCACGGUGAAUCUCAUUUAUAUUUCAUGACAAUUUUUUAAAAAUAGAUCAAAACAUUUUUAAGAGAAAGCAGGAGGAAGCCUCGUGUUGGGAGAACGUUCUCUAUCCUGCCCACGUCAGUGUCAAUAUCCCCGUAAACCCCGUACCCUAGUUUUGCAAGACAUCACCAACGGGGGAAACCGGGCAAAGGACACGCGGGGUGUUUCUGUGUUAUUUCUUACAAUUCCAUGUGAAUGACACCAAAAUAAAAACCUCACCUAAAAAAUAAGAGCUGCACGCCGCUCAGGUGUUUUGCUCUUGUGCGUUGGGUAUGUGGUUGGGCAACAAGUCCCACGCCCAAGGCCUCCGCGGGUCCCGCGCCUCAGAAGCACCGCCCCACCCGUUGCCACACAGGAAACCCCUGAGGCCCCAGGUUCCCGCGAGGGCAAGGUUCCUGCCUACCCUGAGAAGCUACGGUUUCUCUUCCAGUAUAUUCCACAAUCGUGUUUUCUCCCUGAAAUGUCAUAAUGAGAUAAAAAGUGUAGCUCUACUUUGCCUUUCUCUUUCAUUUAAACGAGGUCACUGGAUGUUGUUUUACACAGAAAAGCUUGAACACAUGAAGUGAAUGCUGGUGUGUGGCCAUGGCCUGAUGAGAUGCACCUUGCUUGCUCACAGGGCCGUCCACGCAGCGCCGAGCCCCCACCCCGCCUAGGCCUGGACAGGGGUGGGGGCCGGGGCUACUCAUCACUCAGUACGUGUCCUCAGGCCUGCGUCUCCGUGUCCCACCGAAGAUAUGAUAUUCGGGGGACCCCCUAUACCGCUGCUUCGAUAUCCGGCAGAUGACAGAUGGGCUCCCCAGAAUCAUCACCCCGCCUCCUGACCAACUGCCCAAGUGAUGAAGAAGCCCUGGUUAGUCCCCAAGAGAGGCCUGGGCCAGGGGAGGAGGGGCCUUAUCCCCAGUCCAGAGCCGCCCGGCCUCCAGGAAGCCAUGCUCUGUUCAGCCCACGUUUAUGAGGCACCUGCUGGGCGCCUGGGAGGCUCAGUUUGUUAAGAGUCUGCCUUUGGCUCAGGUCAUGAUCCCGGAGUCCUGGGAUCGAGUCCCGCAUCGGGCUCCCGGCUCAGCGGUGAGCCUGCUUCUCCCUCUGGCCCUCUCCCCUCUCACGCUGUUUCUCUCUCUCUCUCUCAAAUAAAUAAAUAAAUAAAAUCUCAAAAAAAAGAUAUGAGGCACCUGCUGCAUGCGGGGCUGUGGGCCCAGACACGGCUGUCCAGGCCGUCCUACCCACACAGGAAAGACACGCUGCUCGACGGGGUAACUGGAGCGCUGAGUGUGAAGUUGGGGAGCACCCGGGGGCACCACUAAUGGGGGGCAGCUCAAGGCCCCACCGGCUGGAGCUGCACCUGACAGGGAAGCAGCAGGAGUUCUGAGCAGCUACCCCAGCAGCGACCCAUCCUCUUUGGGGAUCCCUCCCUGGAUGAGGUCACAGAGGGGCUCGUGCUUUCCCAGAAGAUAACUUCCUGUCCGGGUCAGCGUCU